rnacentral:tRNA from 1 species
GCGGGUGUAGUUCAAUGGCAGAACGUGGCCUUCCCAAGGCUAAAGCGAGAGUUCGAUUCUCUUCACCCGCUCCA